rnacentral:rRNA from 1 species
UACGUAGGUGGCAAGCGUUGUCCGGAAUUACUGGGCGUAAAGCGCACGUAGUCGGCUUUGCAAGUCGGGUGUGAAAUCCCCGGGCUCAACCUGGGAACUGCAUCCGAGACUGCAUUGCUAGAGUAUGGGAGAGGGAAGCGGAAUUUCUGGUGUAGCAGUGAAAUGCGUAGAUAUCAGAAGGAACAUCAGUGGCGAAGGCGGCUUCCUGGACCAAUACUGACGAUCAGGUGCGAAAGCGUGGGGAGCAAACAGG